UAGGGAAUAUUGGUUAAUGGGCGAAAGCCUGAACCAGCAACGCCGCGUGUGCGAUGAAGGCCUUCGGGUUGUAAAGCACUUUUAGUAGGGACGAGGAAGGACGGUACCUACAGAAUAAGCCUCGGCUAACUACGUGCCAGCGGCCGCGGUAACACGUAGGAGCCAAGCGUUAUCCGAAUUCACUGGGCGUAAAGCGCGUGUAGGCGGCUUAUUAAGUUGGAUGUGAAAGCUCCUGGCUCAACUGGGAGAGGACGUUCAAAACUAAUAGGCUAGAGGGCGACAGAGGGAGGUGGAAUUCCCGGUGUAGUGGUGAAAUGCGUAGAUAUCGGGAGGAACACCAGUGGCAAAGGCGGCCUCCUGGGUCGCACCUGACGCUCAGACGCGAAAGCUAGGGGAGCGAACGG
rnacentral:rRNA from 1 species